UUAAGCGACUAAGCGUACACGGUGGAUGCCCUGGCAGUCAGAGGCGAUGAAGGACGUGCUAAUCUGCGAUAAGCGUCGGUAAGGUGAUAUGAACCGUUAUAACCGGCGAUUUCCGAAUGGGGAAACCCAGUGUGUUUCGACACACUAUCAUUAACUGAAUCCAUAGGUUAAUGAGGCGAACCGGGGGAACUGAAACAUCUAAGUACCCCGAGGAAAAGAAAUCAACCGAGAUUCCCCCAGUAGCGGCGAGCGAACGGGGAGCAGCCCAGAGCCUGAAUCAGUGUGUGUGUUAGUGGAAGCGUCUGGAAAGGCGCGCGAUACAGGGUGACAGCCCCGUACACAAAAAUGCACAUGCUGUGAGCUCGAUGAGUAGGGCGGGACACGUGGUAUCCUGUCUGAAUAUGGGGGGACCAUCCUCCAAGGCUAAAUACUCCUGACUGACCGAUAGUGAACCAGUACCGUGAGGGAAAGGCGAAAAGAACCCCGGCGAGGGGAGUGAAAAAGAACCUGAAACCGUGUACGUACAAGCAGUGGGAGCACGCUUAGGCGUGUGACUGCGUACCUUUUGUAUAAUGGGUCAGCGACUUAUAUUCUGUAGCAAGGUUAACCGAAUAGGGGAGCCGAAGGGAAACCGAGUCUUAACUGGGCGUUAAGUUGCAGGGUAUAGACCCGAAACCCGGUGAUCUAGCCAUGGGCAGGUUGAAGGUUGGGUAACACUAACUGGAGGACCGAACCGACUAAUGUUGAAAAAUUAGCGGAUGACUUGUGGCUGGGGGUGAAAGGCCAAUCAAACCGGGAGAUAGCUGGUUCUCCCCGAAAGCUAUUUAGGUAGCGCCUCGUGAAUUCAUCUCCGGGGGUAGAGCACUGUUUCGGCAAGGGGGUCAUCCCGACUUACCAACCCGAUGCAAACUGCGAAUACCGGAGAAUGUUAUCACGGGAGACACACGGCGGGUGCUAACGUCCGUCGUGAAGAGGGAAACAACCCAGACCGCCAGCUAAGGUCCCAAAGUCAUGGUUAAGUGGGAAACGAUGUGGGAAGGCCCAGACAGCCAGGAUGUUGGCUUAGAAGCAGCCAUCAUUUAAAGAAAGCGUAAUAGCUCACUGGUCGAGUCGGCCUGCGCGGAAGAUGUAACGGGGCUAAACCAUGCACCGAAGCUGCGGCAGCGACGCUUAUGCGUUGUUGGGUAGGGGAGCGUUCUGUAAGCCUGUGAAGGUGUACUGUGAGGUAUGCUGGAGGUAUCAGAAGUGCGAAUGCUGACAUAAGUAACGAUAAAGCGGGUGAAAAGCCCGCUCGCCGGAAGACCAAGGGUUCCUGUCCAACGUUAAUCGGGGCAGGGUGAGUCGACCCCUAAGGCGAGGCCGAAAGGCGUAGUCGAUGGGAAACAGGUUAAUAUUCCUGUACUUGGUGUUACUGCGAAGGGGGGACGGAGAAGGCUAUGUUGGCCGGGCGACGGUUGUCCCGGUUUAAGCGUGUAGGCUGGUUUUCCAGGCAAAUCCGGAAAAUCAAGGCUGAGGCGUGAUGACGAGGUACUACGGUGCUGAAGCAACAAAUGCCCUGCUUCCAGGAAAAGCCUCUAAGCAUCAGGUAACAUCAAAUCGUACCCCAAACCGACACAGGUGGUCAGGUAGAGAAUACCAAGGCGCUUGAGAGAACUCGGGUGAAGGAACUAGGCAAAAUGGUGCCGUAACUUCGGGAGAAGGCACGCUGAUACGUAGGUGAAGUCCCUCGCGGAUGGAGCUGAAAUCAGUCGAAGAUACCAGCUGGCUGCAACUGUUUAUUAAAAACACAGCACUGUGCAAACACGAAAGUGGACGUAUACGGUGUGACGCCUGCCCGGUGCCGGAAGGUUAAUUGAUGGGGUUAGCGGUAACGCGAAGCUCUUGAUCGAAGCCCCGGUAAACGGCGGCCGUAACUAUAACGGUCCUAAGGUAGCGAAAUUCCUUGUCGGGUAAGUUCCGACCUGCACGAAUGGCGUAAUGAUGGCCAGGCUGUCUCCACCCGAGACUCAGUGAAAUUGAACUCGCUGUGAAGAUGCAGUGUACCCGCGGCAAGACGGAAAGACCCCGUGAACCUUUACUAUAGCUUGACACUGAACAUUGAGCCUUGAUGUGUAGGAUAGGUGGGAGGCUUUGAAGUGUGGACGCCAGUCUGCAUGGAGCCGACCUUGAAAUACCACCCUUUAAUGUUUGAUGUUCUAACGUUGACCCGUAAUCCGGGUUGCGGACAGUGUCUGGUGGGUAGUUUGACUGGGGCGGUCUCCUCCUAAAGAGUAACGGAGGAGCACGAAGGUUGGCUAAUCCUGGUCGGACAUCAGGAGGUUAGUGCAAUGGCAUAAGCCAGCUUGACUGCGAGCGUGACGGCGCGAGCAGGUGCGAAAGCAGGUCAUAGUGAUCCGGUGGUUCUGAAUGGAAGGGCCAUCGCUCAACGGAUAAAAGGUACUCCGGGGAUAACAGGCUGAUACCGCCCAAGAGUUCAUAUCGACGGCGGUGUUUGGCACCUCGAUGUCGGCUCAUCACAUCCUGGGGCUGAAGUAGGUCCCAAGGGUAUGGCUGUUCGCCAUUUAAAGUGGUACGCGAGCUGGGUUUAGAACGUCGUGAGACAGUUCGGUCCCUAUCUGCCGUGGGCGCUGGAGAACUGAGGGGGGCUGCUCCUAGUACGAGAGGACCGGAGUGGACGCAUCACUGGUGUUCGGGUUGUCAUGCCAAUGGCACUGCCCGGUAGCUAAAUGCGGAAGAGAUAAGUGCUGAAAGCAUCUAAGCACGAAACUUGCCCCGAGAUGAGUUCUCCCUGACCCUUUAAGGGUCCUGAAGGAACGUUGAAGACGACGACGUUGAUAGGCCGGGUGUGUAAGCGCAGCGAUGCGUUGAGCUAACCGGUACUAAUGAACCGUGAGGCUUAACCUU
rnacentral:rRNA from 1 species